CUCUUUCACCAAGGAACUCCUUUUCUAAAAAGACUAUCUGACUACUGACAAACACCUUUUGUUCUGCAGCAUGGUAGAAAAGCUUAUCUGUCUUUAAAUACUUGACACAAGCUGGACACCCCCAGACCCUAAGAUGUGAGAGCACCGACUUACGUCCAGUCUAUAUCUCAUAUGGAGUUUUAUCGACAGACUUGCUGGGCACCUUAUUCAAAAUAUAG
rnacentral:lncRNA from 1 species